GCCAGCGUAGCUUCAAUUGGCAGAGCACAGCAUUCGUAAUGCUGGGGUUACGAGUUCGACUCUCGUCGCUGGCUC
rnacentral:tRNA from 2 species